AACCACCUGGUCAUUCAUCCUUCAAAAAAUCCAAUAUUUGUAUUUUCUCAGAAGACACUAGAAACCCCUAGAAACGUGAUGGAACCACUCUAUUUCUGAGCUGUCUGAUACAGAAGGCCCGAGCCACGUGUGACCAGUAAGCAUCCAAAAAGUGGCUAAUGCAACCAAGGAGCUGGAUUUUUAUUUCAUUUUAAUUAUCAGCUUAUCACGCAUCCUGAGGACCCCCCCCUUUGGGAGCAGCAGCCCUAUGCCCAUUUUGCAGAGGAGAAAAUGCAGGCAGUGCCUGGCAGUGCUGGGGGUCAAACCAAGUCCUGAGCAUGGGAGCUGGUCUUGCAGAGGACGAUGCCCAAAACAGCCCAGGGGCUCACCCCGCCCUUCAAGGAUCUGGAGAUGAGGUUCAGAGAGAUUCAAUCACUCACCCAGGACUAAACUUGAAAGCAGAAUUUGAAUAGGCUGAAGGGAGAGGCUCCCCGCAUUCUCUUCUUGGUCACAGUGACUGCUUCAGGAAGGAGCACAUGAUUCAAGGAAAUCAGUGCAAAUCAAGCCCAGGACUUCUGCAGAUCUGUUAAAAAAGAGAAGCUUCUUUUCCCAUCAGGUUGCUGAAUUAGUAGGAUGUAAGCCUGGAAUAGCCCCAUGCUGAGAGAGCCAGCCUGAGAAUACAGUCAACACAGAGGGUGCCAAAGAUGAAAGAAUAGAUUCUGCUGCUAUGUGUGAACACCUUGAACCAGCCAUGCCUGAAGCUUUCAUCCAGGACUUUCUAGAACACGAACCAAUACAUCAGUUGGAAUUAUUUUGAUAGAAAGCCUAACUCACACUGGCUGAAAUGAUCAUUGAGAAUCAACUGGCUCACUUACAUAAAAUCUCCAAAUCUAGGGCUUUCAAGUGCAGUGUGAUCAGGGUUCUGAUUCCAUGUCCUUGACAGAUUCUCAGUUUAGUCCUCCUUGGCAUGUCAGCAUCAUCCUUGGCUCUGACAGAUCUGUACACACACACACACACACACACACACACACACACACACACACACACACACACACACACACACAAGGAACUGGCAGCAUCACUUCCCCCCAACCAGAGAACAAAAACCCCAGGCUUACUGUGAUUGGAAGAACUUGGAUCACUUGCUCUGGGGAGGGUGAUGGAGUUGUGCUGAUUGGCCAAGGUCAAUCAGGACUUGCCCCUGGAGUUGGGGGGCCUGGGAGAGGGGACAAGCUGUGCCCACCACGGCCAAUAAAUUCCCUUUUCACCUUCAGCCACUUGACUUGAGUUGGGUCUUCCUCACUCAGUACCCAGAUUCCUGCCAGUAACUGUCACCCACCCCAUUUCCAAACAGAUUUCAUUUCAUUUUUUCCUGAAACCAAUCAAUAAACCAAUAAUUUUGCUUGGAAUUUGCAU